GGCUUCAUCUCGGUCACCAUUCAUUUAAAACAAUUCAUGUAAAAGCCCUGGAAAGCUGGAAGUUUUACUAGCUCCCUUGUCUCCUUCAGCUCCACAGAAUGGCAUCUAAUCAUAUGUUUUUGGAUUGAAAAUAUUUUAUUUUUCAGUCGGCUGAGAACAGGAGCUGGAGACCAGCCUGGGCAACAUGGCAAGACCCUGUCUCUAUUUUUAAAAUCCAGAAAUUAGCUGGGCAUGGUGGUGCAUGCCUGACGUCCUAGCUACUUGGGAAGCUGAGGAUCGCUUGUGCCCAGGAGGCGAAGGCUGCAGUGAACUGUGAUUGCAUCACUGCACUUCAGCCUGGGUGACAGAGUGAGAUCCUGGCUCAAAAAAAAAAAAAAAAGAAGAAGAAAGAAAAAAAUAUUUUAUUUUAUUCAUUUUGUUAUGUUUCUCUGCCACAAAAAUGUGUGUUUAUAUUGAAAUACAUUUUUCUUUGACUUUACAUAAUAUUCAUACUUUUAUAAUAAUUACUUAAUAAAAGAUAAAAUUUUACUACAAAUGCAUUUGCAAUUAGGCCAUAUGUCCAUGGAUGAAUAUUACUUACAUGAUUCAAGAUCAAUUUCAUUCUGAUUUUUCAUUUUUAUGGAUACUUUGUUCACAUUAAAAGUAGAUGGCAAGAGAAGUUUUACAAUGGCAAUAUCAUCCAAUUCUUUGAACUACUUACAAAUUAUUUGCUAAAAAGUCACAUGGUGAUGUAUUAUCAAAACUAUUUUUUUUGUCAAUUGAUAAUAUAUCAGCUGAUAACUUGAGUCUUUCUUCAAUAUAUUGAAAACAAAGAAACAAAAGUCAUUUGACUUACAAAUGAUUUGUUACUCAGGUAAUAGUGUCAUUCCUUGCCAUUUCUGGCAGUUCAACUAAGAAGGCUUUACCCAGGCUGGGCACAGUGGCUCACACCUAAUCCCAGCACUUUGGGAGGCCAAAGGUUUCACCACAUUGGCCAGGAUUGUCUCGAUCUUGUGACCUCGUGAUCCACCUGCCUUAGCCUCCCAAAGUGCUGGGAUUACAGGCAUGAGCCACCACACCCAGCCUAGUUUGAUGAAUUUUUACAAAGAACACUUAUAUAACCAGCAACCAAAUCAAGAAAUAGAACAUUACCAACACCCUGAAGCUUUCCACGCCAGUCACAACCUGCCAACUAAUAGCCUGAAUUCUAAUAGCAUAGGAUUUGUUUUUGCUUGCUUUUAUAAUUUAUAUGAAGAUAAUCACACAGUAUAAACUCCUCUGUGUCUUGAUUCUUUCACUCAAUUUUAUAUUGCUGGGUAUGGUGGCAUGCAGCUAUAGUCCCAGCUACUCAGGAGGCUGAGGCUUGAGCCCAGAAAUUCCAGGCUGCAGUGAGCUAUGAUUGUGACAUUGUACCUCAGCCCUGGGCAGUAGAGCAAACCCUGUCUCAAAUAAAAAAAGAUGAAUGAGAACGUUUCAGUAUACAGUAUAAGCUGCUUAAGUAUUAGGGAGCAGCACAAUUUUACUGUGUUCCUUGAUUUUAAGCCAGGAGGUCAGGACUUUAAACCGAGGCUCUGCAUAUUUUUCAGAAUAGCAGUGAGUGUUAGUGGCAGGUAUCUUUAAGUUGUAUAAGAUAAACUGCCCCCAAGUUCUGGUCUUCUUUUGUGUUGCUAUAAAUUAUCUUCAGGAUGGAGAGAGGGAACUACAGAGGAACUAAGUUAAUUCCUGUAACUGGCCCACAGGUUCAAGAGAAAUGCCCACCACGUGACUUCAAAUGGUUCUGGAAUUGCUACUGAUAUAAACUCCAUCUUAACUAUUUUUCUAAAUGUUGAGGACCCACAUUGUGGCUUUACCCACAAAAGGAUAGUAGGUUUUAUUAAGAAAAAAAAAGUAAAAAAGAAUGACGUUUCUCAUCACAGAGAGAAUGGUACCUUCUCAGUUUGUGGUAGAGAGAUCUGUA
ensembl:lncRNA